AGAACUUUCCAGAGAUGGAUUGGUGCCUUCGGGAACUCUGAGACAGGUGCUGCAUGGCUGUCGUCAGCUCGUGUUGUGAAAUGUUGGGUUAAGUCCCGCAACGAGCGCAACCCUUAUCCUUUGUUGCCAGCGAUUCGGUCGGGAACUCAAAGGAGACUGCCAGUGAUAAACUGGAGGAAGGUGGGGAUGACGUCAAGUCAUCAUGGCCCUUACGAGUAGGGCUACACACGUGCUACAAUGGCGCAUACAAAGAGAAGCGACCUCGCGAGAGCAAGCGGACCUCAUAAAGUGCGUCGUAGUCCGGAUUGGAGUCUGCAACUCGACUCCAUGAAGUCGGAAUCGCUAGUAAUCGUAGAUCAGAAUGCUACGGUGAAUACGUUCCCGGGCCUUGUACACACCGCCCGUCACACCAUGGGAGUGGGUUGCAAAAGAAGUAGGUAGCUUAACCUUCGGGAGGGCGCUUACCACUUUGUGAUUCAUGACUGGGGUGAAGUCGUAACAAGGUAGGCGUAGUGCU
rnacentral:rRNA from 1 species